UACGUAGGCGGAUUGGUCAGUUAGAAGUGAAAGCCUUGGGCUUAACCCGAGAAUUGCUUUUAAUACUGCCGGUCUUGAAUCCUGGAGAGGAUAGGGGAAUUCCCAGUGUAGAGGUGAAAUUCGUAGAUAUUGGGAGGAACACCAGUGGCGUAGGCGCCUAUCUGGACAGGUAUUGACGCUGAGGUACGAAAGCGUGGGGAUCAAACA
rnacentral:rRNA from 1 species